GACGUAGGGCGCAAGCGUUGUCCGGAUUUAUUGGGCGUAAAGAGCUCGUAGGCGGCUUGUUGCGUCGACCGUGAAAACCCGUGGCUCAACUGCGGGCUUGCGGUCGAUACGGGCGGGCUAGAGUUCGGUAGGGGAGACUGGAAUUCCUGGUGUAGCGGUGAAAUGCGUAGAGAUCGGGAGGAACACCAGUGGCGAAGGCGGCUACCUGGACCAGCACUGACACUGAGGCACGAAAGCGUGGGGAGCCAACAGG
rnacentral:rRNA from 1 species